rnacentral:rRNA from 1 species
CAGUAGCCACGGUAAUACGAGGGGGGCAAGCGUUGUUCGGAUUUAUUGGGCGUAAAGGGUGCGUAGGCGGUUUGGCAAGUCUUAUGUGAAAUCUAUGGGCUCAACCCAUAGUCUGCAUGAGAAACUACCGGGCUUGAGUGAUGGAGAGGUGAGUGGAAUUUCCGGUGUAGCGGUGAAAUGCGUAGAUAUCGGAAGGAACACCUGUGGCGAAAGCGGCUCACUGGACAUUAACUGACGCUGAUGCACGAAAGCUAGGGGAGCAAACAGGAUUAGAUACCCCCGUAGUCCCUGUCUCUUAUAC